AUGCCGCUCCCGGCGCCGGCGGUGGACGCCGUCAUCAAGCCGCUGCCGCGGGCGCUCUCCCUCGCGGGGGCGGCGGCCGCUGCGGCCGCGACGUCUCUCCUCCUCAUUUCCGCCGUCGUCUCCCGCGCCCGGGACGACUACGCUUCGCCGCCCCCGUCCACCAGCGCCUCCACCACCGCCGCGCUCCCCCCGGCGCCCGAACCCUCGCCGCAGCACCAUGAGCACCCCCAUCCCCCGCCGCCGCCCGUCCCGCCCUGCCCGCCCAACGCCUCCCACCACACCCCCUGCCACGAGCCUCCCUCCGGCGAGCGGCACUGCCCCCCGCACCCUCCGCCGCCUCAUCCUCCGCACCCGCCCGAGGACCCACCGCCUCAUCCUCCGCCCCCGCCUCCGCACUGCCGCGUCCCCCCGCCCCCCGGGUACCAUCCGCCCCCGCCGUGGCCCGCGCGGCGGGAGCGCGCGCGGUACGCCAACGUGGAUCUGCCAGCGCUUACCGUGGCGAAGCUGGCCGCCUCUCAGGACCCCGUGCACGCGCGCGGGGAGUGGCUGGUGUUCCCCAAGGGGGCGGGGAAUUACGUCGAGCAGCUUGAGCGCGUGGUGCCGCUCCGCGGCGGCGCGGUGCGAACGGCGCUCGACAUCGGUUGCGGAGUUGCGAGCUUUGGGGACUACCUGUUGAGCUAUGGCGUCCUGACCAUGUCCAUUGCUCCGAGGGAGAGACACGGUGCGGAUGUCCAGUUCGCCUUGGAGCGUGGACUGCCCGCGAUGAUUGGAGCGCUCGGCGCUCGCAGGCUGCCUUAUCCUUCGAGGUCCUUCGACAUGGUGCACUGCGCCGACUGCCAUGUUUCAUGGACUGCUCAUGAUGGGCUGUAUAUGCUGGAAAUUGACCGUCUUCUCAGACCUGGUGGGUAUUGGGUUAUGUCCAGUCCACCCAUCAGCUGGAAAUCACCCUACAAGGGCCCCAACAAAACAAUCGAGAACCUUGAUGGUGAGCAGUUAGCUAUGGAAGAUACUGCAAAUAAGCUUUGUUGGGAAAAGGUGUCAGAUAAGGGCACACUUUCUGUUUGGAGAAAGCCUAUUAAUCAUCUCCAUUGUGCCCAAGAAGCAGAGUUCUUGAGAUCACCACCACUCUGUACAGAAGAUGACCCAGAUACUGCUUGGUAUGUAAAUAUUUCGAUGUGUAGAACUCAUCUUCCAAGAGUUGAACUUGAUGGUGGCCCGCUGGAGAAAUGGCCUCAAAGACUUGCUACAGUGCCACCAAGAAUAGCCAAUGGGGAAAUUAAGGGGAUGUCCAUCCAGGCAUACAAACAUGACUGUUCAGUUUGGAGGAGAAGAGUUGAACUCUAUGGAACAUAUUUGAAAGAUUUAUCUCAUAGGAGUUACAGAAAUGUCAUGGACAUGAAUGCUGGUUUUGGUAGCUUUGCCGCUGCCAUGUUGAAAUACCCUGUUUGGGUCAUGAACGUGGUUCCUGCAAAUAUAACAGACAACAACACCCUUGGUAUCAUCUAUGAGCGCGGCCUGAUUGGAACAUACAUGGACUGGUGUGAAGCUUUCUCUACUUAUCCACGUACAUAUGAUCUGAUACAUGCUAAUGGAGUAUUCAGCUUGUAUAUCAACAAGUGUGGUACCCUUGACAUACUGGUCGAGAUGGACCGAAUUCUCCGGCCAGGGGGCGCCACGAUAAUUCGAGACGCAGCUGAUGUUGUUCUGAAAGUGAAGGAGGCUGCUGAUCGGCUGCAAUGGCGCAGCCGGGUUGUCAACACGGACGAUGAGGGCCCAGACCCUCAGAAGCUUCUCAUCGUCGACAAUUCGCUCCAACUGCCAGGGAGCUAG
rnacentral:rRNA from 1 species